rnacentral:piRNA from 1 species
UGGAAAUUUCAUACUGUUUCA